UGCUGGUCUGAGCUGAGGGGUUCACAGCAAAUUGAUCACAGCCAGUUUUGGAUUUCUUUGUACUUUCUCUACUCCCACUAUUUCGCUUGACUAGCUUUU
rnacentral:Y_RNA from 1 species